rnacentral:rRNA from 1 species
UACGUAGGGUGCGAGCGUUGUCCGGAAUUAUUGGGCGUAAAGGGCUCGUAGGCGGUUUGUCGCGUCGGGAGUGAAAACACUGGGCUUAACUCAGUGCUUGCUUCCGAUACGGGCAGACUAGAGGUAUGCAGGGGAGAACGGAAUUCCUGGUGUAGCGGUGAAAUGCGCAGAUAUCAGGAAGAACACCCGUGGCGAAGGCGGCUCUCUGGGACGGUACUGACGCUGAGACGCGAAAGCGUGGGGAGCGAACAGG